GCGGGCGGAGCGGGCUGCCCGGUUCCCUGACGCCGCCUCCAGCGCCGCCGGCAGGCGAGCCGGCUCCGUCCUCCCGCAGGCCGGCCCGGCGACAGCUGGGACAAUCCGGGUGACAGUCCCCCGGCCGGGCGGCGGCAGCACCGGGCUGGAGGACUCACCCAGCCAGGCAGACACCCCAGGAUUUGGAGGAUGGACUGCAGGGCGCCAAGGCCGGGGGCGCGGUGACGCUGUGGUGGAGGGGGCUGUCCGAGCCCUGAGUGUCUGUGACUCACUCCCCUGGCCCAGGCGGCCUGCGGGGGGCCUCCCCACGGUGAGGUGCUCCCUGAGGCCGGGUGCCCGCCGGACGGCACCCAGCCGGUCUGACCGCAGAGCCCGCGCCCCGCUCAGCCCCGAUGACAACAGGCAGAGGGGCGGGCGCGCACCCAGGGGGCCGUUGUGGGCACUGUGGGCUGGGAGUGGGGCGGCUCCCGCUCAUCCUCGUCCCUGAAGCUGCAGAGACAGCCCCUCCGGGGACUCCCCGGGCCUGGGCACCUCCCAGACCGAGGCCCUCCCAGUGUGCUCCUCCCGGAGCAGCGUGAGGGCAGAGGCAGCACGUCUGGAGGGCCCUCCGGUCGGGGGCCCGGCCGCCUGCCCCCCAUGUCCCUCAGGCCACUCACGGACCACCCCGGGGCCAGGGUCGCUUCUUUAAUAUAUAACUUUAUUUCUGGUUAUAGAAACAAAUGCUAAGAGGAGAAACAGGACUUCUCCAUCCACAUACAAUUUAAUAGAUAAAAGAACAGUUACAAUAAAUGAAAAACCAAAUGUAGAAAUUUUAAACUUUGUUAUAGCUUUAAAACAUUAAUGUCUGAUACAAUUAGAAAUCACAUUCAUUUCUCAAACUUUAAAAAAAAAAGUAUGGCUCCUUUUUAAAAAAGUACUGUAUCCCAUUAGAAAUGGAGGCAGGCCGGCCGCGGCGCAGGCGGGCGCCCCGGCACCGCAAGCCGCCCCGGCUCCCCAGGCCAGACUUCACCCGCAGGCAGGGGCACCGCCACGUGACCUCUGCCUCUCCCAGGCUUAGGCCUUAAUUUCCACCUUGUAGGAAACCACUGCUUUUAAAGCACUGAUUGUUAAACAUGUUGUAAAAAUACUUUAGACAGCCACCGUAAAAACACGCUCACACACACACACACCCAGCCCUAACGGCGCCCGCCCCGCCCCGCCCCGCCCCGCCGUUACAGAAUCAUCCGUCAGAUU